GGACACCAAAGAGGGCAUGGCAUGUGGUGUAAAAUGUAAACACAGUCAGAAUGCAACGAUUUGUCAAUCCUCCACCUAUAUUCAACUGAAUACAAUCAAAAGACGAGGGCACAAUAUCCCUCGUUUCCCCCAAACAAUUUGAAACGUGGACUCGCCAGACCACAGCACACUUUUCCACUUGGCAUCAGGUCAUCGAUUAUUUAAAAAAAAAA